rnacentral:rRNA from 1 species
CGAUGAUGGUUUACGUGAGGUCUUCUGACUGGCGCCGAUACUCUGGCAACAGAGCGCCGGAUGCCGGAAAGUUCGGUCAAACUUGAUCAUUUAGAGGAACGUAAAAGUCGUAACAAGGUUUCCGUAGGUGAACCUGCGGAAGGAUCAUUACCGAUGAUAUUCGUCCAACAACUACACAGUUGUACCUUGUGAACCGUACCAAAACUAUUCAGGGGGUCGGCGUUGUCCGUUAAAUGGUCGUCGGACGCGAGAUAAUCGGCGGCCGACAUCGAACCGGACCCCGAAACGGCGUAUUAUGGUUAUUUUAUAAACAUAUGAUGUACCUGAUCUGACCAAGCGUUGCGGCCGGACCCAAGGGGUCGGUCGCAGCAAUUAGAGCAAAAAACGAGAUCACAACUUUUGACGGUGGAUCUCUUGGCUCCACGCCAUCGAUGAAAGAACGCCAGCCCAGCUGCGAUAAGUAGUGUGAAUUGCAGCAAUUCAGUGAAUCAUCGAAUCUUUGCUGUCUGAUUGUCGGAUAUCAUCCAACGCACGCCAGCGUUCGGAAUUGAGGCGUCACGGUCCGUACUGCACGGACCGUGUCCCUUGAAAGUCAGAGAGACUCGCCGCGUCGCGGGAAGAUUCCCCGUGCACACCAGCGGAGGCUAAAAUGUCUUUUGCCCUUCGCGUGCCGGGAAGUCGCCGCGUGCGGCGGUCGUCGUCGGGCGAACUUUAAUUAUCUUGACCUCAGAUCAGGCAAGGCUACCCGCUGAAUUUAAGCAUAUUAAUAAGCGGAGGAAAAGAAACUAACAAGGAUUCCCUCAGUAACGGCGAGUGAAGCGGGACCAGCUCAAAUUUGAAAUCUCCGAUGCCUGCAUCGGCGAGUUGUAGUUGCGAGAAGCACUUUCUAGGUGGAUCGGUCGUGCCUAAGUUGCUUGGAACAGCACGUCGCAGAGGGUGACAACCCCG